rnacentral:rRNA from 1 species
GAUCAUGGCUCAGAACGAACGCUGGCGGCGCGUUUAAGCAUGCAAGUCGAGCGGCAAGGGCCUUCGGGCCCCUAGAGCGGCGGACGGGUGAGUAACACGUGGACAAUCUGCCCCCCGGCCCGGGAUAGCCCAGGGAAACCUGGAUUAAUACCGGAUGAGACGGGACCCGCGAUGGCGGGAUCCGGGAAAGGCGCUGCGGCGCCGCCGGGGGAUGAGUCUGCGUCCCAUUAGCUAGACGGCGGGGUAACGGCCCACCGUGGCGACGAUGGGUAGCCGGCCUGAGAGGGUGGACGGCCACAUUGGAACUGAGACACGGUCCAGACUCCUACGGGAGGCAGCAGCUAAGAAUCUUCCGCAAUGGGCGAAAGCCUGACGGAGCGACGCCCGCGUGAACGAAGAAGGCCGUGAGGUUGUAAAGUUCUUUUCGGGAGGGGGAACAACCGUGGCAGGGAAUGGCCGCGGGAUGACGUGAAUCCCGGAAUAAGCCCCGGCUAACUACGUGCCAGCAGCAGC